rnacentral:rRNA from 1 species
AUUGAACGCUGGCGGCAUGCUUUACACAUGCAAGUCGAACGGUAACAGCACUUCGGUGGCUGACGAGUGGCGAACGGGUGAGUAAUACAUCGGAACGUGCCUAGUAGUGGGGGAUAACUACUCGAAAGAGUAGCUAAUACCGCAUGAGAUCUAAGGAUGAAAGCAGGGGACCUUCGGGCCUUGCGCUACUAGAGCGGCUGAUGGCAGAUUAGGUAGUUGGUGGGAUAAAAGCUUACCAAGCCGACGAUCUGUAGCUGGUCUGAGAGGACGACCAGCCACACUGGGACUGAGAAACGGCCCAGACUCCUACGGGAGGCAGCAGUGGGGAAUUUUGGACAAUGGGCGCAAGCCUGAUCCAGCAAUGCCGCGUGCAGGAUGAAGGCCUUCGGGUUGUAAACUGCUUUUGUACGGAACGAAAAGCCCUCUUCUAAUACAGGAGGGUCAUGACGGUACCGUAAGAAUAAGCACCGGCUAACUACGUG